CGGCAGCGCGAGAGAGCUUGCUCUCUUGGCGGCGAGUGGCGGACGGGUGAGUAAUAUAUCGGAACGUGCCCAGUAGCGGGGGAUAACUACUCGAAAGAGUGGCUAAUACCGCAUACGCCCUACGGGGGAAAGGGGGGGAUCGCAAGACCUCUCACUAUUGGAGCGGCCGAUAUCGGAUUAGCUAGUUGGUGGGGUAAAGGCUCACCAAGGCAACGAUCCGUAGCUGGUUUGAGAGGACGACCAGCCACACUGGGACUGAGACACGGCCCAGACUCCUACGGGAGGCAGCAGUGGGGAAUUUUGGACAAUGGGGGAAACCCUGAUCCAGCCAUCCCGCGUGUAUGAUGAAGGCCUUCGGGUUGUAAAGUACUUUUGGCAGAGAAGAAAAGGUAUCCCCUAAUACGGGAUACUGCUGACGGUAUCUGCAGAAUAAGCACCGGCUAACUACGUGCCAGCAGCCGCGGUAAUACGUAGGGUGCAAGCGUUAAUCGGAAUUACUGGGCGUAAAGCGUGUGUAGGCGGUUCGGAAAGAAAGAUGUGAAAUCCCAGGGCUCAACCUUGGAACUGCAUUUUUAACUGCCGAGCUAGAGUAUGUCAGAGGGGGGUAGAAUUCCACGUGUAGCAGUGAAAAUGCGUAGAUAUGUGGAGGAAUACCGAUGGCGAAGGCAGCCCCCUGGGAUAAUACUGACGCUCAGACACGAAAGCGUGGGGAGCAAAAAGGAUUAGAUACCCCUGGUAGUCCACGCCCCUAAACGAUGUCAACUAGCUGUUGGGGCCGUUAGGCCUUAAUAGCGCAGCUAACGCGUGAAGUUGACGGCCUGGGGAGUACGGUCGCAAGAUUAAAACUCAAAGGAAUUG
rnacentral:rRNA from 1 species